rnacentral:rRNA from 1 species
UACGGGGGGGGCAAGCGUUGUUCGGAAUUACUGGGCGUAAAGGGCGCGUAGGCGGCUCUUCAAGUCAGCCGUGAAAUCUCCAGGCUUAACCUGGAAGGGUCGGUUGAUACUGUCGAGCUAGAGUGUAGAAGAGGCAACUGGAAUUCCGUGUGUAGCGGUGAAAUGCGCAGAUAUCAGGAGGAACACCGGUGGCGAAGGCGGGUCUCUGGGCCGAUAUUGACGCUGAGGAGCGAAAGCGUGGGGAGCGAACAGG